UGAAUAGGGACAGUCACUUUCUUUGUAACUUUAUUCCUGUUGAAUUCACCCGAUUUGAUAAUCUACAAGAAACCAUCAAAAGAAACAUUAUAAUCAUGCAUGCUAGCCACCACCAUCGCCAAGCUUCUACACUUCAACAUUUAUCACACUAAAAGAAUUAAAUAAAAAAAAUAAAAUAAUGAAAAUAGAAAAAUAUAAAAUUUAUUCUGUAAAUUACAUUUUCUAAUUCGUCUAUAUUCCUGGGUGCUGAUCUUGGCAUGGUCCACACAAAGCCACAACAUUAUAGCCUCCACUGUUGUUGCCAUCCAAACCCCAAUGGGUGAUUGGGUGGUCCUGCCUCGUCUAUAUGCUAGUGAUAAAUUACACAAGCAAACAAUCUGUAAUUCUGAAACUUGCUCUUCAACCAAAUAAAUACUAGUAUAGUAUACAUACAACAUUUGUCAAAAAAGAAGACACACCCCAACUCCCUUUCUCUGCUUCAAAAAAGCGUACUAUUAACUGAUAGUAAUUGCCUUUCGAUUAAAUAAUAAUAAUAGUAAUAAACCAUAACUUGAUCUUGAUCAUCUCUGUUUCACUCGAGUUAUGAUCUCACCAAAAUUGGAUACUUGAUUCCCAGUUUACCUUCAUCUUUACUAUCUCAUUACCAUUUGUAGAACCGCUCCUCUUGCUCCUUGAAUCUCUUCAAUACCCCAUCUAUGGCAACAUCAAAGGCAUCCUUUAUACUCUCUAAGCCUUCGUGAGGUCUCGCAUACACAAAUUUGGGUAUAUAAUCAAUCACCUUCUCUCUCAUUUUCCUUACCUCUUCUUUGCUGUAACUCUCAAGCACUUCCCGUACGGAAGUCCCAUUUUUUACCUCAUUCCGGUGUAUAAAAACAGAGUACCUCUCAGGUUCGCCCGGUAAGAACCAAUCGUACUGGUAAUAAGCGGUUCGUUUCCAGAACAAAACCGGAAUAGAACCCGCCAACAUGCAAUCAAAGAUGGACCUACGGGUGAAACUAUCGCCUCUCGGCUGCAAACAAAAAUCGGAAUUCAAAAACGUCUCGAGAAUCGCCGAGGUGCCGUUGGAGCAACGAGUCCCGGCACAAUCUACGACUCGACACGAGUCCGACUCAUUCUGGCAAUGGCUUAGCAACAGGCCUCUAAAAUCGUUCUUGAUAGCGCCGCGUUUCGCCCCGGCGAAGCAGAAGAGAUUCGUACGGUUCCUAGUACGGACAAACUCCUGCCACUGCAGGAUAUCCGAGUCCGAUCUGGGGUGGAAGCCGGUGGGGUAAGGAACACCAACAUCGAAAUAGUCCCACGGAUUUCGUUCAAUCAAGAGGCGAGUAAUGUUUCUCAUACCUGGCAUGUAAAUGCAGCUUGACCCCCAAUCCUGAUCUUUCGACCGUCGAAAAUCCCACGAGAUACGCCCCAUGGUGAUGAAGUGAUUCCAGCCGUUCGAUUUCUUGUAGUAUGGUUGAUCUUGGACCCACGUCAGCAUCAUCUCGCAGAGCCGAUCACGGUCUUUGGCAGUGCAAUUAUGCCACAAAAACUUGCCUACGGCUAAUCCUGCAUAAAAAGGAAUGUAAAACGCCGUCGCAUUAUUUGGCUCUGUCGUCCUGCACUUGUGCCUCAAAAUCCGAUUGUGGAAGAUAAUCUCCGAGACGAAUUGAUCAGUCCAAUACCAUGCGGGAGCCAGACUUUCCGGCACAAGCCCCGAAAGCCCGGUGGCUUUCUGGCCAAAACCGUCAUUAGCCAAGGCAUCGCACCUGGAACUCCAUGGGUUCAACUCGUCGCAGUUUCGAAUCAAUUCAGUGUUGAACCUGCUGGGGAGAUCGUAGACAAAGACUCUUCCUGAUCCACAUUCAUCUUCAUCAGUAGUUGCUGCUGCAGAGGGGCUGAUAUUGAUGAUGGUUUUGGCAGAGAUGUUGAGAUGGUCAGUAUACGGGGAGGGGAAAUGUUGGCGGUGGGGAAAAGAGAAAGGAAUUGAGCGGAGACCAAGGAGGAGAAUGAUCUGGAUGGAGAGGAUGGAGAGGAGUAGCCAUGCGCGGGAUUGAUUAAAGUAAGAAUUCGCAAGGAGAGAAUUAAGGGAGUUAAGCGAGCUCUUGCGAGGAAGGACUUCGUACGGCUGGCUUUUGGGUUUUCUGAUAUAGGGUUCCGGUGAGGAUGGACUGGAAAUGGAAAGCAUCAGGAAAGGGAAGAUUCAGUUUAGAACUUGAUUUUCCCGGCAGGGACUGAACCGGAAAAACAGGUGCGUAUACAGCCAAAAAUGAAAGCGUUCUAGUUUAUAUCCGUACCCGAAAAACCAGUGGCGGUGAGAGACAGAGAGCGGGUAAGGUGGGGCGUUUAUUGCUGCUCUGUGUUAUGAGCUUUUUCGAGGUUUUUGUACAGAGAGAUGCAGUAAGGAUUCGGUGAUAAAAGGUAAGAGACAGAUGGGAAGGGUUAAGCACGUGCACGUGUACGAUUAGAUUACGGCAGCGUAGGCAACCGACAAGGAAUUCAGGCAUUCAGCCGUUAUAAGUAACGGGCACGUGGCUGUAUCAUCUCGGGGCAACUGUGAAUAGCUGGGUAAUUUGGUCCCUUUAAAUUUCAAUCAACUACUUUUUCCACAGAAAUUCUAACAUGUGAACGCUGAACAGAAAUCAAACGUAUAAACGGUAAUUUCAUCGCAAUGAUUAACGACGCUUAUGACUGCAAACUGGCCCGAAUUCCUGUUUGUUUUAUAUAUAUAUAUGGAACAGAAAUUCUCAAAUACGGUUUAAGAAAUUAGUUUGCAACAAAAAAGAUUUGUUUAGAAUAAAAAUGAAAAAAAG
rnacentral:misc_RNA from 1 species